UACAGAGGUCCCAAGCGUUGUUCGGAUUCACUGGGCGUAAAGGGUGCGUAGGUGGUUAGGUAAGUCCGAUGUGAAAUCUCCAGGCUCAACCUGGAAAUGGCAUUGGAUACUAUUUAGCUUGAGGAGUGGAGGGGGGACUGGAAUUCUCGGUGUAGCAGUGAAAUGCGUAGAUAUCGAGAGGAACACCAGUGGCGAAGGCGAGUCCCUGGACACUUCCUGACACUGAGGCACGAAAGCUAGGGGGAGCAAACAGG
rnacentral:rRNA from 1 species